CGGGUGAGUAAUAUAUAGCUAAUCUGCCCCUUGCUGGAGGACAACAGUUAGAAAUGACUGCUAAUACUCCAUACUCCUUUUUACCAUAAGAUAAAUCGGGAAAGAAUUUCGGCAAGGGAUGAGACUAUAUCGUAUCAGCUAGUCGGUGGGGUAACGGCCUACCGAGGCUAUGACGCGUAACUGGUCUGAGAGGAUGAUCAGUCACAUUGGAACUGAGACACGGUCCAA
rnacentral:rRNA from 1 species